UUUUGUCAGUUUUCUAUAGAAUUAAGAACAGAAACAGAGAGGCCAAUGGAUGAAUGAUAAAUAAGCAAGAUAUGAUUCUUAUGGGUUUUAAAGGAUGGAUGAAAUCUAGGAACAAAAGAUAGAUAAAAAGAGAAGAAUGGCGGAUGGGAUCUGUUGCUGGACGUGUGUCUCUCUCAACAAGAUCAACGGUUGGUUUGAAGGAUAGA
rnacentral:lncRNA from 1 species